AGUCGAGCGAGCGGAACUAAAGAUUUACUUCGGUAAUGACGUUAGGAAAGCGAGCGGCGGAUGGGUGAGUAACACGUGGGGAAUCUGCCCCAUAGUCUGGGAUACCACUUGGAAACAGGUGCUAAUACCGGAUAAGAAAGCAGAUCGCAUGAUCAGCUUUUAAAAGGCGGCGUAAGCUGUCGCUAUGGGAUGGCCCCGCGGUGCAUUAGCUAGUUGGUAAGGUAAAGGCUUACCAAGGCGAUGAUGCAUAGCCGAGUUGAGAGACUGAUCGGCCACAUUGGGACUGAGACACGGCCCAAACUCCUACGGGAGGCAGCAGUAGGGAAUCUUCCACAGUGGACGCAAGUCUGAUGGAGCAACGCCGCGUGAGUGAAGAAGGUUUUCGGAUCGUAAAGCUCUGUUGUUGGUGAAGAAGGAUAGAGGUAGUAACUGGCCUUUAUUUGACGGUAAUCAACCAGAAAGUCACGGCUAACUACGUGCCAGCAGCCGCGGUAAUACGUAGGUGGCAAGCGUUGUCCGGAUUUAUUGGGCGUAAAGCGAGCGCAGGCGGAAGAAUAAGUCUGAUGUGAAAGCCCUCGGCUUAACCGAGGAACUGCAUCGGAAACUGUUUUUCUUGAGUGCAGAAGAGGAGAGUGGAACUCCAUGUGUAGCGGUGGAAUGCGUAGAUAUAUGGAAGAACACCAGUGGCGAAGGCGGCUCUCUGGUCUGCAACUGACGCUGAGGCUCGAAAGCAUGGGUAGCGAACAGGAUUAGAUACCCUGGUAGUCCAUGCCGUANACGAUGAGUGCUAAGUGUUGGGAGGUUUCCGCCUCUCAGUGCUGCAGCUAACGCAUUAAGCA
rnacentral:rRNA from 1 species